rnacentral:tRNA from 1 species
GGUAAGGUAACUCAGUAGUAGAGUGCUUGUCUUGCAUGCAACAGGCCUGGGUUCAAUUCCUCAGUACCA